rnacentral:rRNA from 1 species
UACGGAGGGUGCAAGCGUUAUCCGGAUUCACUGGGUUUAAAGGGUGCGUAGGUGGGCAAGUAAGUCAGUGGUGAAAUCUCCGGGCUUAACCCGGAAACUGCCAUUGAUACUAUUUGUCUUGAAUACUGUGGAGGUCAGCGGAAUAUGUCAUGUAGCGGUGAAAUGCUUAGAUAUGACAUAGAACACCAAUUGCGAAGGCAGCUGGCUAGACCUGUAUUGACGCUGAGGCACGAAAGCGUGGGGAGCGAACAGG